rnacentral:lncRNA from 1 species
GGAGGUUCCCAGGAUAGGGGUCGAAUAGGAGUUACAGCUGCUGGCCUACACCACAGCCACAGCAACUCAGGAUCUGAGCUGUGUCUGUGACCUACACCUCAGCUCAUGGCAACGCCAGAUCCUAAACCCACCAACGGAGGCCAGGGAUUGAACCUGCAUCCUCGUGGAUCCCAGUUGGGUUUGUUAACCACUGAGCCACGAUGGGAAUAGUUGAUUUACAAUGUUGUGCCAAUUUCUGCUGUACAGCAGAAACUCAGUUAUAUUCAUAUAUAUAUAUACAUAUACACAUUUUUAAUAUUCUUUUCCAUCAUGGUCAACCCCCUGUGCUGUACAGUAGGACCUCACUGCCUGUCCAUUCUAAAUGGAAGAGUUAGCAUCUACUAACCCCAACUCCUGGUCCAUCCCACUCCCUCCUCCUUCUCCCACAACUUUUCUAAUAGGUAUUUAGACGUCUGAUUCUAGAAGUAAGUAUCUGCAAUAUUUUUCUAUCCACUCGCCCAGUUUCCCCUUUGCAUUUAUGUUGGGAAAAUGGCAUCCAUUUUUAAAUGGAAAUAAAAAUCCAGCUUCCCUCUUGUGACUUGAUGUCCCCUGCAGGGUUGUCUGUGGGUCAGAAGGAAGCUUGGGAACGUCUGUGCUGGCCUUGCAUUGAGCUGUAGGUGGGCAGGAGUCUCUCGACGCCCAGGCAACGUGAGGAGCAUCUCUCACGAGUGUGGUUUUUCUGGGGGCUCAGAGGUCGGUUAAGUUGGGCUCUGAGCUGAGGCCUGGAAGGGUAGCCACGGAUGGACCACACCUCUCGGCAUGGUGAUGACGCCCAGGUGACAGCUGCAGAAGGUUCUGAAUUCUGAUGUGGUAGCAAACUGGAGUCCACCUGCCUUAACACAAUACAUGUUCAUCGAAGCUUUCUCAUUCCGGGGUUUGAGAAUCACCCAGGUUCCCCAAAUCCGCUGUUCCCUAGUGACACUUGGACUCCGGAAAAGGUUGGCGUUUUGGUUUAUGGUUUAUCGUGACCGUUUUGUUUUUAUUUUAGGGGAUGAAAGAAGUAAAGGGAAAGCAAGUGGCUCUCAGUACAGAGACCACUGAUUUUCCAACAGAACACUGAGUUCCACAGGCGGGUCCUCUGGGGAGCUUCACAUCCCUCCGGGCCCCGGGUAACCAGGAAAGGGAAGAAGGAAGUAAGAGGAAGGGAAGAAACGCACUUUUUUUUUUGUAAAGUAAACUCUGUGUGUGCAGGGGUGUGUGGUUAUACGCGGAUCGGAGGGCAAAAGGCAGGAAGAGGAGCUCACAUUUCCUCACAUCUGCUCUGCUCAGACUCCAGGCUGGGCCCUCCAUGUGGCACCUCACUCGGUCCCCAAAGUCACCCUGUGAAUAGGUGGUGGGCCCUGCAUUGCAAGACCAAAAAGUUAAGCAACCACCUCAAGAUACGCACAUAUUCUGAAAGUAACUUUUUGUUUAUGUAUUCAGCUUUUAAACUGUUAACACAAUUUGUAAAGGUUACUUUCCAUUUAUAGCUAUUAUGAAAUAUUGGCUCUAUUCCUCAUGUGUACAAAGCAUCCUUGAGCCUGUCUUACGCCCAGUCGUUUCGACUUCCUUCUCCCUGCUCUCAUCCUGCCUGUCCUCCUUCUCUCCCCAAGGGCGAACACCAGUUGCUUCUCUAUACUUGUGAGUCUGCUUCUUUUUAUUAUAGUCACUAGUUUGUUGUCUUUUUUAGACUCCACAUAUAAGUGAGAUCAUUCACUAUUUGUCUUCCUCUGUCUGACUUAUUUCACUUAACAUAAUGCCCUCCAAGACCAUUCAUGUUGCUGCACAUGGCAACAUUUCAUGCUUUUUUAUGGCUGAGUAGUAUUCUACCAUGUAUGUAGACAGAUAGAUAGAUGUCCAUCACAUCUUCUUUAUCCAUUUAUCUGUUGAUGGACCUUUAGGCUGCUUCCAUAUCUUGGCCAUUGUAAAUGAUACUGCUAUGACCACUGGGUGCAUUGUUUCAAAUUAGUGUUUUGGGGUUUUUUUGGGUAAAACCAGGGAGUGGACUUUCUGGGUCACACGGCAGUUCUGUUUUUUGUUUUUUGAGAAACCUCUACACUGUUUCCACAGUCACGGCACCAGUUUGAAAGUCAGUCCUUUCAGCUCGGACCCUCGACCCCUUUUCUCCCCCCUAAAGACAGAGCAUCUUACACACAGGCCAAGUCUGGGCCUCCACCUGUUUCUAAACAAGAAUAAAAGAAAAAAAAUUUAAUAUUUACAAUCUGGUCUUUUACCAAAAAAAGUUUGCCAGCGCCUGUUCUAAGGGAAUAAUUUUGAAAGUCUAUCAUUGGUUAGGAAAGUGUCUUCAGAUGCAGUCAAAGGCAUCAUUUUGUCCCAUAAAAUAUUCUCCAAAAUUCUCAGAAAGAUAGCACACUUAUGAACCAGAUGCCCUAUUUAAUAUCUUAUUAUAAAAAAUACUAAUACUGGGUCACAUGGAUGAUAAAGGAACUUUUCCGUUGCCUCUAUGCAUGUGUUGCCUCUUUUCCCACAUUUACAUGUUUAAUUUGCAGGUGCUGCGGGGCUGACCUUAGCAGAGGAGAAAGACAGAGAAGCCCUCUGGUUCUGCCUCUAAGUACAGUAAGCAAAUCACUUAACUGUCUUCGAUUUGAAAAUCCUUAUUUCCAAUUGUGGGCUGGACAAGAUACCUGCGAAGGCCCUCUGUAAUAAUAAAAGACAGGCUUCCGCGACUUUGGACAUGAUUUUAAAAUGUUAGGAAUCACCAGCACUGACAGCGGUGAUGGCUUCACAUUUCCGGUAGGGCAGUGGCCGUAUUUAUGGUCUACUGGACUUCAAAUCCUUAGUCAGGGUCUCAGCUCCCAAUUACGCCAUUGUCCCUGUAGGAGAGAAUAUGAGCAACUUUAUGAUGCUUUGAUUCUCAACAAAACUUCCAGGGAUGCACUGAGGGAAAAACUGCAGACAUUUUUACAGUUCUGUGGUUUACUACCGAUUUGAGAUUGGAGGGUCUUUAGAAAAGGACUCAAAAGUACACUGGCUAGGAGUUUUAAGUGUGCACUUUUUUUUUUUAGUUAAAUAAUAGACUUCUAAUAAUUGACAAUAAAAAUGUUGAGUCACUUUUCCAGAAUGUUCCAUCCAUAGACAUACAUAUGGAUCCAGACAUGGAAACCAACAGGUCCACUGUGUUUCUUGCUAUACCUAUUUCUCUCAGCGUUCCAAGUGUGUUCUGAUCCGAGGAUUAGCUAGGAAGGCUGGAAGGAGAAUUGUAAUUCUACCUAGGGCAAGUUCGGAUCUUGUCCCGUAUCGCCACUGUGUUGUGCCUGUCCUGCAGACAGGGUGUCAUGGAUCAUAGAUCAGUCUGUAAAGAGAAACUCUUACACAGAGUCUGCCCAGAGCUGGGACUCCAGGCCAGAGCGUGCAAUGCUCUUUUCCCUGGGGAAACGACUGAGCUACAGGAAUGGAGGAAAGCAUUUGGUAGUCUCCCGCCCAAUGCAGUGUCAACAAUAUCUAAUCCCCCUCAAAUACUUUGGGUUUCACACCCACCCAUCACAAAAUUAAGCACUGGGUCAUGUGCAACAAACCUUAAUGAAAAUGGAACAGGAUGCAGAAUCCUGGUAGUGAGCCAACAGGAAAUGGAAUAUUCUGCAUUCCUUCUUUCUGCAAUGCCCUUUGCUUCAUUUCCCCAGAGAGCUCAGGAUGUCUGCAGCUGGAUGAGACUUGUCACCUCUCAAUACACUAGAUGAUGACUGCCCAGGAUCAUGGUUAGACGUUCUUAAUCAAGAAGUAACCUGGAGCCUCACGCCAACCAGUCCAUGUCCGUCCUGGGAGACCUGGCCUGCCAGCUGGACCUGCCUCCACCUCCAUGAACCGGGGGAUGGCGGGAGGACGUCACACUUGGGUUCAGCGGUGGCAGAAUGCAGGUUAAGAGGAGGUGAGCUCAAGGUCCCGUACUCCGCCGCCUUGUCCCGAGAUGAGAAUGCACUUUGCAAUGUUCAUCCUCUCCCCGGUACCAGCUACCUCUAAACACCCCGCCGAUGCCCCGCCGCAAAACACAAUAUUAGCAACUGCACGGACCCUCAACCUUUGACAAGAUAGACAUUAGGCCCCCUCUGUAAAACCAGUUAGCAGAACCAGUUAAAUGUAUGCGGCAGAUAAUUUUAGACUCUACUGGACUGUGUUUAGACUACAUUAAUGCACAUUCACACGUAAACCCCGAGAGCCCCAGAAAUCAACAUACCAAAUUCCCUAAUGCGUCUUCAGGUCAAUACUUCAAGUCCAACCUUUUUGCUUUUGUCUUG